UGCAGUCACCUGCAAACCUGACAACAACUGACAAUAAGGAUAAACCAGAAGUGCAGUCACCUGCAAACCUGACAACAACUGACAAUAAGGAUAAACCAGAAGUGCAGUCACCUGCAAACCUGACAACAACUGACAAUAAGGAUAAACCAGAAGGAAACCCAGUGCAGUCACCUGCAAACCUGACAACAACUGACAAUAAGGAUAAACCAGAAGAAAACCCAGUGCAGUCACCUGCAAACCUGACAACAACUGACAAUAAAAAUAAACCAGAAG